AUGAACGCUAGCGGCAGGCCUAACACAUGCAAGUCGAACGGUAACAUGAGAGCUUGCUCUUGAUGACGAGUGGCGCACGGGUGCGUAACGCGUAUGCAACCUACCCUAUACAGGGGGAUAGCCCGGAGAAAUUCGGAUUAAUACCCCAUAAUAUUUUCGAUUCACCUGGAUUGAUUAUUAAAGCUUCGGCGGUAUAGGAUGGGCAUGCGUCCCAUUAGCUAGUUGGUGAGGUAACGGCUCACCAAGGCUACGAUGGGUAGGGGUUCUGAGAGGAUUAUCCCCCACACUGGUACUGAGACACGGACCAGACUCCUACGGGAGGCAGCAGUGAGGAAUAUUGGGCAAUGGACGAGAGUCUGACCCAGCCAUGCCGCGUGCAGGAUGACGGCCCUAUGGGUUGUAAACUGCUUUUAUACAGGAAUAAACCUAUCUACGUGUAGAUAGCUGAAUGUACUGUACGAAUAAGGAUCGGCUAACUCCGUG
rnacentral:rRNA from 1 species